GCUGGGCGCGGUGGUGCGUGCCUGUGGUACCAGCUACUCAGGAGGCUGAGGUGGGAGGAUCGCUUGAGCCCAGGAGCUCUGGACUGUAGUGCACUAUGCUGAUCAGGUGUCCACACUAAGUUUGGCAUCAAUAUGGUGACCUCACGGGAGUGGGGGACCACCAGGUUGCCUAAGGAGGGGUGAACCAGCCCAGGUUGGAAAUGGAGCAGGUAAAAACUCCCAUGCUGAUCAGUGGUGGGACUGCGCCUAUGAAUAGCCACUGCACUCCAGCCUCAGCAACAUAGCGAGACCCCGUCUCU
rnacentral:SRP_RNA from 1 species